GCGCUGCGUGGGUCCUCUGUUCCUUGGGCCGGCCGUCGUGCUGUUCUCGGCGUCCUGUUGUCGAAUACUUAACAGCUGGUGACAGGCGGACUGCGGACAGCGGAUGGAUCGCCUUGGUGUCCGGUUUGAUCCUGUCGUCCCGGCUGACGGAUGAACCCUACGUCAGAGGCCUGCGGCCCGCUCCCUGUCGCUACGUACUCGGCAGCCUUUCGACACUCGGCGAGCAGAGAUGAUUAUGAGCGUCACCUCCUCCUGGACGUGUCAACCCCUUUUCACGCGCCUGUUGUUCGAGCCUGAAGACGCUUGGUGCCUUCUCCACCAUUACUGUGAUGUCCAGCUCAACUUGCCUGCCUAUGCCACCGAGCACCUCAACGUCUUUUCCAAGCGCAAGGACAAUAAUAUCUUGCAAACGCUUCAGUGCUGUGCAUAGACAAUCUUGUUGCCCACGUGUUCCCGCGUCCAGUUGCUCAAGAAGCGUCAUCCCCUUGAACGCCUUCCGAAAAGGGCAGCAUUGGCCGAGCUGUAACUUUCGCGGUGCUGGUCGCAUUCAACGUUGUAAUCGGCAGAUAAGAUUGCCCCGCUUACCGCCAUAUCUUCCUUUCUUUUGCCGCUCCUUGAUUGGCUGCUUAGCGCUCAAAAAGCGCGUCGCCUAAGGAAUAAACAUGAUUGCCUUCCUGGC